GACGAACGCUGGCGGCGUGCUUAACACAUGCAAGUCGAACGAGACCUUCGGGUCUAGUGGCGCACGGGUGCGUAACGCGUGGGAACCUGCCCUUAGGUUCGAAAUAACUCCCCGAAAGGGGUGCUAAUACCGGAUAAUGUCUUCGGACCAAAGAUUUAUCGCCUUUGGAUGGGCCCGCGUUGGAUUAGCUAGUUGGUAGGGUAAAAGCCUACCAAGGCGACGAUCCAUAGCUGGUCUGAGAGGAUGAUCAGCCACACUGGGACUGAGACACGGCCCAGACUCCUACGGGAGGCAGCAGUGGGGAAUAUUGGACAAUGGGCGAAAGCCUGAUCCAGCAAUGCCGCGUGAGUGAUGAAGGCCUUAGGGUUGUAAAGCUCUUUUACCCGUGAUGAUAAUGACAGUACCGGGAGAAUAAGCUCCGGCUAACUCCGUG
rnacentral:rRNA from 1 species